rnacentral:snRNA from 9 species
UUACUUCUUCCUGGGCAGGGUCAAUCGGUGAUCAGGAAGGUCGAUGGCCUAGGAAGGCAUGUCAUAAUUUGUGGCAGCGGAGGCUCGCAUUCACGGGCCUCCA